rnacentral:lncRNA from 1 species
GGGGCCAGAAUCCUCAGGCUUUGCAGAACCUCCAUAACAGCCAUAGACAACUGUCUCUGCGAUUGGUAUACAUGGAACUUGACACCCAAGGAAGUUUGUCUACUCACCAUGGCUUACAGACAAUUUGAAGGUGCUAAAACCACACUGAAUGCAGACCUCUCCCAGCCUGCUUUCUCUGCUUAGGCUGUGGACAAAUGGCGUAGAUCCUUGAGUCGUGAGCAGGAACCUGCAGUGUCUAUACAUCUUUGGCCUUUGCUUGGAGGACAGUCCUGACCGAAGCCAUCUUAGGAUCUCAACUCAAGGUGAGCAGCUGGACAGCCCUUCCCAGAUGGCAGGACUCCAGGCCUCCCACCUCUUGGUAGGUGAGACAGCACAGAAUGCUGGGGGCCCUGCCCUCUUUCACCUCACCCAGGCUAUCAAUCGCUACUUCACUAGGUCUCUCUGUGAAUGGUUCUUGAACCUGGAAUCCAAGCCUCCUUCCCACGUUCCUGUCCUUCUUCUGGGGGGACCUAGCCUCCUGAUGGUGUCUUCAAUUAGGAGACCAGAGACCUUACUAGAGAAGUCUGAGUCUGUUGCUGGCCCCUCUGCAGGCAUCUUGGACACAUCUCCACAGUUCAUACUCCUGGCCUGACUACCGUUUUCACAUCAUGGUCUUGCCUCACGCUGAGCAGAGCACUAUCCUGCUUCCUGCUCCUUAUGCAGAUUCCUUGGCACUGUGGCUGGAAUAGCUUAGUCCUGGGAACCUGAUUGGAAGGACAAGGAAAUGAAGAAAGGACAGACACAUGUACAGAAAAGCUGGGGUCAGGAGGACCAUGCUUGCUCUGAUGGAACAGCACCAGCUACAAAAUACCCUGGACCAUCGGUGUGUUUAUUAUGCAUAGCAGGAAGAGCGGUUAGCUAGUCUCAGUAGGAGGACUUAGUAGGGGAGCUGUCUCAGCUUGUAGUUAUCUGAGAGGAGGAAGCUUGAUCAUAAAUACUCAGACUGG